UACGAAGGGGGCUAGCGUUGCUCGGAAUCACUGGGCGUAAAGCGCACGUAGGCGGCUUUCUAAGUCAGGGGUGAAAUCCUGGAGCUCAACUCCAGAACUGCCUUUGAUACUGGAGGGCUUGAGUCCGGGAGAGGUGAGUGGAACUCCGAGUGUAGAGGUGAAAUUCGUAGAUAUUCGGAAGAACACCAGUGGCGAAGGCGGCUCACUGGCCCGGUACUGACGCUGAGGUGCGAAAGCGUGGGGAGCAAACAGG
rnacentral:rRNA from 1 species